rnacentral:rRNA from 1 species
AGGGUUUGAUCCUGGCUCAGAACGAACGCUGGCGGCGUGGCUAAGACAUGCAAGUCGAACGGACCAUCUGCUUGGGUAACCGAAAUGAUGGUUAGUGGCGAAAUGGUGAGGAAUAAAUAGGUAACGUACCCCGUGCUCCGGGAUAGCGGCAUUUGCCUUCGGGCAAAUUUCCGAAAGGGUCGGUAAUACCGGAUAAUGUGAAAAGUUUUAAGACUUUUCACCAAAGAUUUAUCGGCGUGGGAGCGGCCUAUUUCCUAUCAGCUAGUUGGUAAGGUAAUGGCUUACCAAGGCAUUGACGGGUAGCGGGACUGAGAGGUUGACCCGCCACAUCGGGACUGAGACACUGCCCGGACCUCCACGGAGGGCUGCAGUAACGAAUAUUGGGCAAUGGGCGAAAGCCUGACCCAGCGACGCCGCGUGUAGGAUGAAGUCUUUCGGGAUGUAAACUACUGUCAGGACUUAGAAAGUGUACUUCGGUACAUUGAUCAGGUCCAGAGGAAGUCACGGCUAACUUCGUGCCAGCAGCCGCGGUAAGACGAAGGUGGCUAGCGUUGUUCGGUAUUACUGGGCUUAAAGCGCGCGUAGGCGGAUAGGUAAGCGUCCUGUGAAAUCCCCCGGCUUAACCGGGGAACUGCUGGGCGAACUGUCUAUCUUGAGGCAAGCAGGGGUGCAUGGAACUCUUGGUGGAGCGGUGGAAUGCGUAGAUAUCAAGAGGAACGCCAGUGGGGAAGUCGGUGCACUGGGCUUGUCCUGACGCUGAGGUGCGAAAGCGUGGGGAGCGAAUGGGACUAGAUACCCCGGUAGUCCACGCCGUAAACGAUGUCUACUAGGUUGUGGGGGUUCUGACACCCUCGGGGCCGAAGCAAAAGUGUUAAGUAGACCGCCUGGGGAGUACGGUCGCAAGGCUAAAACUCAAAGGAAUUGACGGGGGCUCACACAAGCGGUGGAGCAUGUGGAUUAAUUCGAAGCAACGCGCAGAACCUUACCUGGGUUUGACAUGUUUGGAUACUUGCCUGGAAACAGGUUAAGUUGCCCUUCGGGGUGAAACUUACACAGGUGCUGCAUGGCUGUCGUCAGCUCGUGUCGUGAGAUGUCGGGUUAAGUCCUUUAACGAGCGAAACCCUUGUCGUUAGUUACCAGCGAGUAAUGUCGGGAACUCUAACGAGACUGCCGGUGUUAAACCGGAGGAAGGUGGGGAUGACGUCAAGUCCUCAUGGCCUUUAUGCCCAGGGCUUCACACGUGCUACAAUGGCGUAUACAAAGCGACGCAAGACCGCAAGGUGGAGCAAAUCGCAGAAAGUACGCCUCAGUUCGGAUUGCAGGCUGUCAACUCGCCUGCAUGAAGUCGGAAUCGCUAGUAAUCGCGUAUCAGCUAUGACGCGGUGAAUGUGUUCCUGAGCCUUGUACACACCGCCCGUCAAGUCAUGGAAGUUGGGAGUACCCGAAGUCGGAUUGCUAACCUUUUAGGAGGCGUCUGCCGACGGUAAGCUCGAUGACUGGGACUAAGUCGAAACAAGGUA